GGGGAUGUGGCUCAAGAGGUAGCGCGCUCGCCUGCCAUGCGAGCAGCCCUGGGUUCGAUCCUCAGCACCA
rnacentral:tRNA from 1 species